UAUUAUAGGGUCGCGUUGCUGGGGGAGGGGGUAGCCUGUGACGGAGCUCGAGGGAGACUGGAGAACUUGGGGGGCGGCGGGCAGAAAAAACAGUCACCCCUAGCAUCUGGGAGCCUGAGACUCAAAGGCACAACUGGGCUCACGGUGGAUGCCUGUGGGACCGCGGCGCGGGGGGCAGACGUUAACCCGGCCACCUCUCGCGCACGUAUUCCACGCUGUCCUUGCGUGGAGAGGAUCGGGAUGGGGGUGGAAUCCAAAGACUGAGCAACUCUGAGCUCGGUGCUUCCGCUCCCCGCGGUCCCACCUGCCUGUCGGCCUGUUACCCUAGAGCCCCAGAGGAUGGGUUCUUGAGAUCUGUGCCCCCAAACGAGCCUAGUCCCCUGUCCUACCCGCUCCCAUUGCACUGCUGAAGCCUUGGGUAGGUGGUCAGAGGAAUUCGUUUCUGGGCUUGGGCUCCUGCCCCCUGGCCCAGCGGCCGAGAACAAGGACCCACAACAGACCUGACACACUGACCCAUCCGCGGGCCCUAGGGACCGACCGACAGCAGCGCUGCCCGGCCUCCCCCGCCUGCAGCGGCGAGAGGGGGCAUCCGCCAGGUUUAUCAAUCCGGGACACGCGGACACUGAUGGAAGAGAGAACCAAACUUACAUCAGACACUCUGGACCGCCGGUUCCACCACUUGCUGGGAGCCUUAAAGACAUCAGAUCAAGGUGAUGAGAUGAAGGACGAGGAGUUGGAGCAAAUCACCCAUGACUCAGGGGGAAAGAAGAGUUGGGGAUGUCUUGUGUGAGUGAGUCUUCCUGUUGCUCAGGAGAGGAGAUAAGGGAAUUAAUCUACCAGAGCAACAUCCAUUUCUCCCACCAGGCUAACUGAGCUGGGGACACCAGGCCAGCUGAGCACAGACUAAGAAAAAAAGAAAAGAAAUAUAUCAGAAAAAUCUGGAACAUUAACCAAGAAAAAUAGUAAAAACUAAGCGGAUAGUAAUGAGCAAAGGUAUCCAAAGUCAGUUUGGGAAGGUCAGUUUAUUAGGAAUCACUCAUUUAUCCAACAAACACCAUCAUGGACUAUAUGCCUAGAGGUGUGCCCGGCAUCUUUUUUUUUUCAUUCACUGUCUCUUUAAUAACUGUUAAUAAAAGA